rnacentral:lncRNA from 1 species
GUCUAUCGUGAAACUAGGCCAGCCUCUACUUAACAACUCAUCACAGUAAAACUUUGAAAAUAAAGACGGAAGCAGUUAAUAUUAAAGAAAAAGCCUUUUUGAAAACAGAAAUAAUUCAAAAUACGAAACAAUCCAUCCCAAAACGGAGUGUCACUGAAUACAUGAGCGUCUAAACCAGAAUAUAGUCCACUAGAGUGUCUAGAGAAUAAAAACUGAAAUACAAAUAGAGAUAAAGAAGGAGAGUCAAGGCCUGCGAACGUCGUGCAGCUACCUCGAUAGUUUCUGAACUCUGAAGCCUCAAUCAGUAGUCGUCGUGACCAGAAGCGCCUGGAUCUGCACACGAGGUGCAAGGAGUAACGUGAGUACGUCCAACUCAGUAAGUAACAAGUCCAACCUUUGGACUGAAAGGUAGUGACGAACUCAACCAGUACAGCUAACAAUGGAAAUAACGGUGCAGAAACGUAGGCAUGCUUUCAAAUUAAAUAGAUAGCUCAAAACAGUAAAAUAACCAGAAUUGAACAAGGUGAAAAAUAUAACUCUGAUAUUUUACAUGCCAAUGCACAUGCUGUAAAUGAUGCACCAUGUUGUCAGCCUCAAAUGCUCACACUCUCAAUUGCUCAACCAAUCGGUACUGUAUAUGGCCCAUACGGCCCAGGGAAGAUCCAUCCUAGAAUAUAUACAUCACUGACCAUAGGUCACCCAGUACCGAGAAAAGGCCAAUCCAGCCCUGUGGAGAAGAUCCAUCUCCAAGUAUCAAGUACUUCGGACAAGAUCCAUGUCCAGGGAAAGAUCCAUCCCUCAAUAAUAUCAAUCGCGCUCGCUGGGGGUGUGUUACACACUCCGGAGGGGUUCCUACAGCCCAAGCACUAUCAUAGCAUCAGUACAACCGUUGCGACGUGCAGCCCGAUCCCAUAACUGUCACUCAUAAUCAGGCUCUCGGCCUCACUCAACCAUCAAUCUCUCCAGUCUCACUCACGGGCUCAAAUAUCAUGAAAACUAGCCCGAAACUGUAAUUGACGCCCUUCUAGUACAAUAAGCCAUCCUCCCUCAACUGAGACCAAGAUAUAAAUUUGAGGCAUAUAAAUUAAAUGGUUAACGGAAGGAAAUCUCAUAACUCAGGUGAAAAUACAGGUCCUUAACAGAAUAAAUUCAUUCCUCUUCAAUCUAGACUAAAUCCACGUUGUUGACAUCUAAAGAGAAAGGAAAUCUUAAAUUGACAAAUUGUAAUUCCAAAAAAUAAGACAUGAUUUCUUUAGUUAUUCAGAGAGCCUUGCUUUUGCUCCACAAAAUUAAUGCUGGAGGAAAUAUGCUUUGUCCAAAUGCCCAUCUCAAUUAAAAAUUACCUUAGUCAUUAAAGUACAUGUUCGGUGUAACCGAAAUAAAAUGCCAGACAACUUAAUAACAUUUGCAAAGAUAAAUCCAUAGCCUUAAGUUUAUAGCACAUAAGAGUUACUUGAGGGAGUCACUUACUUAUAAUACCUGGAAUUAUCUGACUUGAAUCCUUUUUACUUUAUUCACGCAAUCAGAUAAGAGCAACAUUAAAACAUGAUCGAUAACAAAUGGUGAGACUUACCUGCUGCAUUAGAUAAAUCAGGUGAUCAAGUCCAGCAAUUUUUUACCAUAACAUGAAAAGUGAUUUCUUUCCUCUGAGAAUUACUUCUUUCCUUAAUCCAAUUGAACUUUUAAACUGGCCUGUUUUGAUGGAUAAAACUACGAUAAGAUCAAGAUAACCAAGUGAACUAAACAUUAACCAUUUGACAGGAACUCACUUUAAAAUAGAGUUUUGUGAAGUCCAAUAUCCAACUAAAAAAAGAGUGUAAAAAGAAAAGUCAUGAAUAUGAGUAUUCAGAAGGACAUAGAGAGCAAAUUAAAGGUGAUUACUAUCUUUGUCAGAUCAACAAAGCAUUGCCAUGGAAGUUAGACCAACAAAAGUUAAAUAAAGAUCUUAAUUUUUAACUUAAAAAUUCCAAAUUCAAGUAAAAUCCUCAGUAACUCGCAGCAUUAUCUAAUUGAAGAAAGUAAGGAGGGCAAACUAUAGUUGUAUAACAGAGACAAAAAUGUAGCCUGAAAAGUUAUGAAGAGGAAUGCAACAAUAAACUGAAGGUUCAUAUAAAACAACAGUUGGCAUACUAAUGUUAAUAAAUAAAAGAAAAUCAUCAUAUUUCUGUGUUCGAAUUCAGGAUUUAUAGAUGACGGGCUGGAACUUAGAUAUUCAGGCAUACCGUCAAACAUUUUGGUUGCAUUAAAGUUCUUCUAUACUCUAGUACUAUUUUUGUCUUGAUGACGCUUAGUGUUUCCUGCGCUGUAGCAACAUGCAUAUGUAUGUAGAGAAAAUUUGUACAGACAUGUGAACAUCUAAUUCAUAGAACUAUACACUCCUUGAAUACCAUCUAAUUCACCCAAAAUCAAAUAUAAUUAUGCAACCCAAACAUGCACUUACAUAUGUAUUUCCAAAUAUACAUGUGAAAAUGAAAUACACACUCAAACAUAAAUGUAAAAAACUAAAACAUACCUACUCAAUUUCACUACAGAGACGAGAGAAGCUAGUUUAACAACUAAAGAAAGAAGAGAAAACUUACCAAAAUUCAGAAAUACCGCAAAAUUAAAGCCAAUUAGAUAAACUGAAAACAAAAGGGUAAAAUUUUGAAGCAGAAUCAAAAAGGAUGCCUGAGAAAAAUAGAACAGUGAACGAAAAAAAUGUGCGGAGAAUUUGAGAGAGAUAAGGAUAGAAAACGUCAGAUAAAGGUGGCUGUAUCGUGCUUCAGCUGAUGUUUGGCCACCAUCUAUUCAUCGUCGACAACAGUAGAGAACCAGACUUCAAAAAAUUUUAUGCUUUUAGCCUCCAUUGUUUUUUGGUGGAGAGAGCUGGGAGGAGACAUGGAAGAAUUUUUGCCAAGAAAUGGGUGUGGAAUGAAGAAAAUCAAUGGAAGGAAGGAAGUGGAACUUUCUUGAAGACAUGAGUAUUGCCCAUGCCUACCAAGGGCCCAACAUUUUGAAUUCUGAAGUCGUUUUGUUCGUGUCUAAUAUUGCAUCCACAGCGACCCUAAAAAACUAUAAAGGUUUAGAAUAGAUAUAAGUUCACAAACACAUAAGCACAAUUCCAACAUUAAAAAAUAGUGACAAAACGUAGAACAAUAUUUAUUGCCUCCCUAGACUUAUUGAAACCGAGCAAAUAUGUCCAUUUCUUCCACUUCCUUUAAAUACACUUACAAAAUCAAAACCAAGCAUAUGCCUUAUUUGUUCAUCAUUUCAUAUCCAUCGUCCUACUUCCUACUCCUCCAUUCCUUUACUUUCAAAUCCCACCAACAACAAUGAGUCAACAUAUAAAGCAAUCCAUUAUAGGCCCUUAAACAUACAUUCCCUAUUCCAUAAAUUUCAAGCCAGAUAAACCAAUUUAAAUUCAAACAAAAAGAUGUUGCUCGAACAUAACUUUUAAGAAGAGUUCCCAAAUCAUCUUAAACCAUAUUAAGUCUUCCUAAGACAUGAAAUAAUGAAUAAAAUCUGUUAAUAGAAAUUCACAUGCACAAUUUUUUUUUCAAUAGCUAUUUGACUUAAUUCAUCCACUUUAUGUCAAUGUCUAACCCAUUCAUCAAUUUUAGUGCUUUAUCAAAAUUGGGUUAUCAUGAGUUCUUACUUUUCUUUCCCUCAACUAUGGAAAAUGAGGAGUGUGUGAAGAGGCAAUUAUCAAGAACCUGAAAAUAAACUGGCGAUUAACAAUACAUGGAAAUAUAACAUAUACAAAAAGAAAAAAAGUAAAGAAAAGGAAGAACAAUAUGCAUUAGGAGCAAAAUUAAAUAUUCAUUUUCUUUUUAAGUAAGCAGAAUAAUAAAAGUCUAACACCUUAAGAAGAAGAAGAAGAAGAAGAGGAGGAGGAGGAGGAGGAGAUAGAGGUAAAUCAACAAGAAGAAGGCAACAUCAAUGAACUUGGACGGAAAAUAACCUUUAUAAUGGUGAUUCCCCAACGUCUGGUUGGAAAACACAAAAUUCAAGGUAAUUUUAUACAUGUAAUUGGGAACAGUUAAAUAGAAGAAAAGAAAGAAAAGAAGACAAAGAGUAAACAAAGAAGAUGUGAGCAAAGAUUGAGACAAUGAUACCUGAAAUAUAUCAGAUAGAUAAAAAAAUGAAAAGAGCUAAGAGUAUUAUUGAAAGUU